GAUGAAGAACGUAGCGAAAUGCGAUAAGUCAUGUGAAUUGCAGAAUUCAGUGAAUCAUCGAAUCUUUGAACGCACAUUGCGCCCGCCAGUAUUCUGGCGGGCAUGCCUGUUCGAGCGUCAUUUCAACCCUCAAGACCCCUUCGGGGGACUUGGUGUUGGGGACCGGCACAGGGGCCUGCCUGCUUGUCUUGCAGCGCCCUCGCCGCCCCCGAAAUGAAUUGGCGGCCUCGUCGCGGCCUCCCCUGCGUAGUAGCACAACCUCGCAACGGGAACGUGACGGCGGCCACUGCCGUAAAACAACCCCAAUUUUAUUAGAGUUGACCUCGAAUCAGGUAGGAAUACCCGCUGAACUUAAGCAUAUCAAUAAGCGGAGGA
rnacentral:misc_RNA from 1 species